UUUCCAGACUCCUACGGGAGGCAGCAGUGGGGAAUAUUGCACAAUGGGGGAAACCCUGAUGCAGCAACGCCGCGUGAGUGAAGAAGUAUUUCGGUAUGUAAAGCUCUAUCAGCAGGGAAGAAAAUGACAGUACCUGACUAAGAAGCCCCGGCUAACUACGUGCCAGCAGCCGCGGUAAUACGUAGGGGGCAAGCGUUAUCCGGAUUUACUGGGUGUAAAGGGAGCGCAGACGGCAGUGCAAGUCUGGAGUGAAAGCCCGGGGCCCAACCCCGGAACUGCUCUGGAAACUGUGCGGCUAGAGUACUGGAGGGGCAGGCGGAAUUCCUAGUGUAGCGGUGAAAUGCGUAGAUAUUAGGAGGAACACCAGUGGCGAAGGCGGCCUACUGGGCUCUAACUGACGCUGAGGCACGAAAGCGUGGGUAGCAAACAGGAUUAGAUACCCCGGUA
rnacentral:rRNA from 1 species